rnacentral:tRNA from 1 species
GGAUACAUAACUCAGUCGGUCAGAGUAUCGCGUUGACAUCGUGAAAGUCACUGGUUCGAGUCCAGUUGUAUCCAAAG